rnacentral:lncRNA from 1 species
UUUUGAUUUCUUUUUGAUUUCUUCUUGUUUCUUCUUGUUUCUUUUUGUUUCUUUUUUCUUUUUGCAUUAUUCUUACCCCUUUUUGCACACACCAGAAUUUUUUCACACUUUUUGCACACACACACAGAAUUUUGUCUUAGCUUUUGCUCUACUCAACAUAGAUAACAAGGUUAAAAGAGUUUCCUUAUCUCAUGACCCCAUUGAUUUGCCACCCCUUUAAGCCUAAAUUGAAUCAUUCACAGUAUAUUACCUUCACUUAGGAAGUUCUUUACUUGAAUUGAAUCCUUAAAUUUGUUGUGGUCAAGGGAAAUAAAAAUACAAAUACAUGCAAACACAAAGUUAGUGCAACUCCUUAUGAGCUGAUUUGCCCAAAUUAUCAUGAAAAACCAGCACAAAGCACAAAUCACAAACUUGUUCCAAUGGUCUAAGACUAUGAACUGAGCCUAAUAGCCACUUGGAGAAGUAACUGACUAAGUAACCGGGGGUGUAUCACCCAUGUACACAAUCGCGUAAAAAGGUCAGUAACUUUUUCAAGCAAAUAAGUUUCGAUGGUCUAGACUAUGAACAGAGCUAGUAGCCACUUGAACAAGUGACUAACUGAGUAACCGGGGGUGUAUCACCCAUGUACACAAUCGCGUAAAAAGGUUAGUGACUUUUUCAGGCAAGGAUAAGAAUAAGUGCUGCUGAAAAUAAAAACAAAAAUAAAAAGAAAUAGAGAAGAAAAGGGGCAAGUCAUUCCUAGGGGUUGCAUUAAAACUAACAUAAAGGAAUAAGCAUGAUUGAGUCAAAAA